UUCAGCCAAACCAGGAAGGACUGGAGCGGAGGUCAGGGAUAUUUCCUGCAUCAUUUGGAUAAUGACUUUUUGAUGAUGUGUCAUUUGUCAUGGUCCGGGUGAGUGCCUGUAUUUUUCCAUAGAGUCGGUGGUUCCACCUCUGGGAGGAGCCACCGUAUUCCUGCAUGCUGUCCACACCAAGCCUCUCAGCAGCUGCUCAGCCACAGCUCUUGUUCACUCUACUCACCUGCCUGCUUCCCUGCCUCAACAUUUGGAUACCUUGGAUCACCACUGCUUGGAUUCACCUCCGCUCACCCUGACCACCUACCCCUCCACCCCAUUAUUCCACCUGCAGCAAUGACCCUGAAUCUACCCGUCCUGUCUGUCUACCCCUUUGCCCCCACGUCACUAAGUUUUCUAGUUUCACUGCUUCAUAGUAUUUAGUUGUGCUUCACGUUACUUCAUAGUUCUUGGUUAUAUUCUAGUUCACAGUACAUCAUUGACUUUUCAAGUGUUUCCCCGCAG
ensembl:lncRNA